AAGGAUCAUAAGGACCAAUUCCUAAAGUCACUACAGAUCCAUACAUCAGUUGUUGUCUAUUCUUUCCUUUUCUUUCUCCUUUUUUUCUUUUUUAAUUUUCUUAAUAAUUAUAGCAUGUAUUUUAGAUGCUAGCAUCAAUUUUUCAACAUCCCCUCUUAAGUUGGUGGGUAUAGAAAAAACCCCAACUUGGUCAGUAAAUCAUGAUGAGAAGCUCUUGAUAAAGGCUUAGGAAAUAAGUUGGCAAGAUGAUGCUUCGAUGGGACAAAAGAAAGAGUGAUAAGGCAUAAAAGAUAUUAUUGACGAACGAAAUGGCAUUCCAACUCUACAUGCUUAUUUCGUUCAUGAAAGACCAAAUUUUUGGCAAUAUAAAGAGCAGCCUGACUGUCGAAAUAAAUAGGAAUCAGCAAAAUCGAUGGUGCGGAUCCAAGAGUCACACUAACCAUCUAAUUUUUUCAUUCACUCUACGCAUAGAUCUAUACUUUGCUUCUGCAGAAGAUAGUGACACCAAGACUUUCUUCUUUGAUUUCCAUGAAAUAGGUGCUCCUCCUAGAUUAACGUAAAAUCCACUUGCAGAUCUUCUUGUAUCCUUGCAGGAACCCCAAUCUGUGUCUCAAAAUGCCAACAAAUUAAAAGAUAGAUUAGCUGAGAGUAGGAUUCCUUAUGCCAGAUCUGCUCGAAGGCACCUCAAGACUCGAAGUGCUGCAUUAUAAUGAUGAAGACUAGGACUUUCUAUAAAUUAAUUUAAAAUCAGCACCACAAAUGAUAAAUCUAGUCGAGUAUGAGUGAGGUAGUUUAGUUUUCCAACCAGUUGUCUAUACAAAGUAGGAUUUUCUAAGAACGGGGAAUCAUUUUGAUGUAUAUUACAGGAAGGUUCCAAAUUACAGAAAAUUGAAGGUCCAGAUACAUCCUGCAACAGAUCCAUGAUAGAAAAGCUUUACUCUACUGGUUUGCCCAAACUUAUGGUCCAAGCCUACCCAUUAAUCUCUAGCUAUUUUGGAGUAUAUGACACUGCCCCUUAUGUCCCUUGAUACUGAAUUUAGUAUCCAAGAGGUAACCAUGUGAUUGCAUCGACUCCACUACUAGUAGGUUGGAUCGUUGGCAUCUGGUGGGGUUAGAGUUCCUUUGAUGAAGCCUAGCUUGUUCUUAGCUGAAAGUGCAUGAAUAAAGAUCUAUGCCAUCCUAGGAAACCUUUUCCAUCAAAUAGAGCAUUGACAAGGUUUUGUCCAGGAGCAUCUGAGGCUUGAAGGUGAUAAGGAUGAUUGACAUUAAUACAAUUUCCAUUCCCAAAUCCACUUCCAAAUUCGAUGGUGAUAGAGUUGAUGGAGUUGCUUGGGGUUUCAUCUCCCAUGGUGAUGAUGAUGAUGAUAAAGGUCUAGUGAUUAACAGGGAUUUUAAUGUAAUGGUUUGCUACAAGCUCGUUGGAUUAAUAUGAUCUCUCUGAUACCAUGAAAGAAAGAAAUAUGAAGAAUGAUUUGCGGAAAUUUUCCACACCUUUAUUCAUUUCCUUCAUGUGUAUAUGUACAAGUGUUUUGUGUAUAAACAAAAAUAAAAAAGAAAAUACUAUUUAAUUUGUCCUAUUUC